rnacentral:lncRNA from 1 species
GUACUUCCUGCUUUUGAGAGGCCCUGCUUUUGAGAGGCUGAUGAGUGGCAGGGAGAGCGGGGCUGGGGCUGGAGGACCUGAGGCAGCCUCGGUCUUGACCAUCCAUUAGUUGUGCCACACCGGGCAGGGCCUUGAGCUUGAGUUUCCUGGUCUAGACAGGAACAGUAAUCGCAUCCUCGCCUGCCCACCCUGAGGCUUACUAUGCAGCUCAAAAGGAGUCCAUGCCUGGGAACGUCCCUUGUCAUCUAUGAAACCCGAUAUGGAUACAAGUGGUGGUUGAUUUGGGAGAGAGGACUGUCAAAGGCAGGGUGGGACACGGGGUGGACCCACUCCAAGCACAGGGGAGAGAGGAUCGAGAAGGAGGAUGGUAUGGUUUGGAUCUUUGUCCCUGCCCAUAUCUCAUGUGGAAUUGUAAUCCCCAGUGUUGAAGUGGGGCCUGAUAGGAGGUGACUGGAUCGUGGGGAUGGAUUUCCCCCUUGCUGUUCUUGUGAUAGUGAGUGAAUUCUCAUGAGAUCUGGCUGUUUAAAAGUGUGUAGCACCUCCCCGCUUUGCUCUCUUCCUCCUGCUCCCACCAUAUUAAGAUGUGCCUGGUUCCCCAUCUGCCCUGAUUGUAAGUUUCCUGAGGCCUUCCCAGAAGCAGAAGCCUGCACAGCCUGCAGAACCAUGAGUCAAUUAAACCUCUUUUCUUUAUAAAUUACCCAGUCUCAGGUAGUUCUUUAUAGCAUGUGAAAACGGACUAAUGCAGAGGGGGAACCAGGCACGCCUUCAACUGAGGAGCAGAGCCUGAGACAAAUGUCCGGGUGCAGGUAGUUCACGUGGGUGUAGGAAUGAGGGAUAGGGUAGGAGAACAGGGAAGCAGGGAAAACCAAUACCAGGAUGUGCUAUCAAGGUGGCCAAUGCUCAGUUCUUCCAGAAUGUUCCACAGGGCCAUAUGAAAUGUACCUUAAAACUGUCCUGUGAGAUGAAAGACAGAAGGAUUUUCCCACUGUCUUCUAUCUCAAAUGGGUUAAGGAUGGUCCCACACAAAUUAAUUCCUCCACACUUUGGGACCGUGCAUGUAUAAGACUAGGAUGUUUCCUGAAGCACCCAGAGUGAGGCGCUGUCUGGUUGUACCUGCUCCGAAGUGUGAGGGUUGGGAUUAAGAGGAUCCACAGUGGUGUGGAAGAAAUGUCAAACACAAGUGCGAGACCAUCCAGGCACAGCCUGACCUGGAAAAUGCCUUUGACAAUGCAAUUCUGCUAGUGAAAGUUGCCAUGGCUGUUCAUGAGGAAGGGAUGAGAUAGAUACUAUUCAGUUAUCAAGUGAUACAGGGAGAAAAUUAUUUUCAGCCAGAGUACCAAUGUUAGUGUAAUAUUUGGAAAGAAGGAUGAAUUCUAGCUCCAUGAUGCUAUGAUUGAUUACUAAUGUCUGCUAUGAGGGUAAGCAGGGGGUUAUGGUAAUAAUGCUGUAUGUAUAUUUACUAUGACUUCUGCCAGACCCCUUAGCUCUUCUCUCCUUGAAUUACUGAGCUCCAGAAAGACCUGAUUCCACUGGCAUUCCAUGGAAUUAUAUUCUCUAAAGGAAGAAAAGCCCUACUUUUAUAUUUCCCUCCACUUAUAAGCUAAAUCUUGUUGCAUAGUCACAAGUUUGGACAGUGUGGGUUUUCAGCUGAAGGACUGAAAUCCACCUUCCACGACAGCCUUUGGGAAAGAUGCUGACACGGGGCCAGUGCUCCUCAGUCACAAGGACACUCACAUGGGUUCCCAGGCAAGUCUAGAGUGCGGAGGCAUAAGAACUCAGUGUCCUAGGUAAGUGGUAGUCAGGCCAUCCAAUAAAAACCCACAGCCACCCGAGUAAAUAUGUGUUUAACUCCCUGGGGGACUUGAGCCCAGUCCCUGGCACCUACUUCCAAGAUCAGUAUCUCCACCACAGACUCCACAAGUCUCUUCCAGCUAGCACCAUUUCAACUAAACUCAUAAAUCUUCCUGACAUUGAAUGUUAUGGGCUGAAUUAUGUCCCCAACAAAGUCCUAUGUUGAAAUCCUAACCCCCAGUAAUUCAGAGUGUGACUGUAUUUGAAGAUAGAGUCUUUAAAGCAAUAAUUAACAUUAAACGAGGUCAUUGGGGUGGGCCUUAAUCCAAUAUGACUGUGUCCUUAUAAGAAGAGGAAACUUGGACACAGAAGGAAGAACAUGUGAAGACUCAGAUGUUUUGUUUUAUUAUUAAUAUUCCAUUCUGGCAACAGUUAAAUUGGAUGACUAGAGGACUGAAUAUUGAUGUUCCCUCUACGGAAAGUGAUUUAUCAUUAUGAUUCAAGAGCGUAAAAGACAUUCAUGCCCUUUGACCUAUUAAUUCCCCUCAAAGAUAUAUGUUGUAGAGAAGUAUCAAAGUUGGAGACAAAUGGUUUCCAUGAAAAUAUUUAUCAAGCCAUUAUUUAUGAAUGCAUAACAUUGGAAAUAAUCCCAGUAUUAAACAAUAGAAGGUAUACAUAAAUUAUAUAGUUAGUUCAUGGAAUGGAAUGUUAUGCAGACAUUUAAAUUAUGUUGCUUUAAAAAUAAAAUAAUAUAGGGAAAUGCAUGUGUCAUAAAACUAUUGAAAGAAAGAUACCAAGGUGUAUAUACAGAAUGCUUUCAUGUAUCAAAAGCAGGGCACAGCCUGGGCAACACGGCAAGACCUCAUCUCUUUACAGAAGGUAAAAAAUUAGCAAGGUGCAGUGGUCCAUGCCUGUUACUCGAGAGGUUGAGGCAGGAGAAUCGUUUGAGCCCAGGAGUUGGAGGCUGCAGUGAGCUAUGAUGGCACCACCGCACUAUAGCAGCCUGGGUGACAGAGUGAGACCCUCAUCUCUUUAAAAAAAAAAAAAAAAAAAAAAAACUGGGCAGAAAAAAUAUCAGAAGGAUAAGCCCCAAAAUAUUAGCAGCAAAUUCUCCUUCCCUUGACUGACAAAGUGGAACUGGGGUGAUUAUUCCCCCCUCUCUUAACUCCUAAUGUUUUCCAAUGUUUCUUAAAUUGAACAUAUAUUUUAACACAAAGAACAAUAAAUUUUUAAAAUAUGGCAUGAAUAAUCCACAACUACAAGUCUCUCCAUGAAUUAUUGAGGCCUUAAGGUGUUUCUAAAACUAACAAAAAUUAAGGUGAUAAAUAUCCAAUGUGGGAAAGCUGGUGCACCGAUACAUGGCUGAGGGCGUUGUAAAUUACUUCACUCUUUCUGGAGAGCAAUCUCACAAUAUGUGACAAGUGCCACAGAAUUGUUCCUACCCUUUGACCUAGCAAUUCCAGUUGGAAAUCUGCCCCUGUGAAAAUAACUAAGAGAAAAAGUAGUGUGUUCAAAGGCAUGCAUUGCAGUGACAUUUAUAAUCAUGAAAAAUUGGCCACAAUCUAGAUACCCAACCAUAAAAAUGGUAGAUAAACCCUAAAACUGCCAAGUAUGCAGGUUAUGUCAAUAUGUGGCAAUGUUUAUAAGAACAGUUAAAUGGAAAAAGCUGAGCACUAGAUAUUACAUGCACACACUGAUUGUAACUCUGCAAAACACACACUGACUGGCGUAGGAUCAAUGUUGGAAAAGAAUGCAGAAGAAGGCAGACCGUAGAGGAUUUGGUGGAAAGAACAUGUUCAUUUAGAACCAGGGCUUGGCUCCAGAUGAUGUUUUGUGGAGAACCCCAGAGUUCCCAUGGAUGAUUGACAUGGUCAAAAUGAGUUCCACAGACAGUCCAUGCUUGUGCCAGAUGAGAUGGUUACCAGUAUUUUUUUCGUCAAUGUGAGGAAGCGCCUGGGGGCAAUUCUCUCCAAAGGGCCCUGGCACCUCUGCUUUCAAGGAUCUAAGACAGGUCCCCAGGGAACAAGAGAGAACAGUCCAACCAACAAGCACAUUGAAUACAGGUGAAGAGGCUGCAACCUGGCAGGAGAGAACCGAGAGAAAGAAGAUCUGAAGCAGCUACAAAGGGGAAGAAUCAGGAGUAAGGUGUCUAGACCAGCGCUGUUCAACAGAAACAGGAUGCAAGCACAGCUGCCCCCAGUUUUACACUUUCCAGCAGCCACAAUUUAAAAGGUAAAAAGAAAUAGGUACAAAUCAUUUUAAUGUUAUUUAUUUAGACCAAUAUAUCCAAAAUAUUAUCAUUACAAAUACGUACCCAAUAUGAAACAUUGUUAAUAAGCUAUUUGACAUUCUUUUCCCUUUUACUGAGUCUUCAGAGCCCAGUGUGGGCUUUGCACACAUAGCACAUCUCACUUACCCACUUACCUGGUGGCUAUUUGCUGGACAGUGUGGGUUUAGAGUUUAGAAAUGAGAUUGCAGCCUGGAGGCGCAUAUAAUACUGGCAUGGAUUCUGCAUGGGCUGGGGUCAGAGCCCUCUUCUAAAAGAAUAUAGCUAAAAAUCCAGGGUAGUUUUGGCUCAACUAGGGCAGAACAAUGGCCCAGCAGUACCUCCAGACACCUAGGUGAGAGGGUGGGGGCUGGGGUGGUGGUCACAGAUGGGAACUGGCAGGACUUGGAGCGUCUCCACUUAGAGGUACAUCCCCAGCAGAGAGGGGCUCAGCACCAAGCCUCUGGUCUGCACCUGGGGACGGAGACCAUUGAUUCCCCUGUUCUCCCCACAAUGAGAACGUCCUACAUAGAGAGUGUCCGGUGGGUGGGAGGGCGGUAGGCAUUCUAGGAGAGGGAGUGGAAUUGUUGAUCAAUGUCAUACAGAAAAGGCAGGCAACUCUGUCAAGACACAGCUUCCCAGAUCAGCUCGCCUGCGGGUUUGCUCAGGCAACAGCCUCCCUGGGUCCUAGGCACUGGGUCCUGCCAUGUUUGCCAUCUGACCAUGCUGCCCCGCAGCUGCCCCUACAAGCCUCCGGCCCCGCCUUUUUGAUCAUCCUUCCCACCAUCUGUCACCUCCCCUCCCCGGGGAAAGUAGCCAGCGCUGCUCCCUUCAGAAGGAGAGCAGAAGGGAGCAUUCCCCUGCCCCCCACUCCAGGCAGCAUCCCUCACCUCUGCCAAAUCCCCCCUCCCCAGGGUGCUUGUUAAAAUGCAGACUUGGAGUCUGCAGGCUGUUGGGUGGGCCACGCCUUGAGUAGCAAGUUCAUCUAAACUUUUCACACUGAGAAAAUCAUGUAAUGUCUCCUCUUUCCUCUCCUCUAAAAGGGAAAUGAGGGUUUCUGCUUUCUAAGAUUUUUUUGAAAAUCUAACAAGAAAACAGUUUGAAAUAUUUAAACCACCCUCAAAUAUACAGGUGCUACAUUUUUGUCCAAGUUUCCAAGAGAAUAAAAGUCAAAGUGGGUUUUCAAAGAUUAAAAUGUGGGAUACUGGCCAGUGUGGUGGAGGGGUGAGAAGCAGGGAUUCUCAUACCUGGUGGGUGGGAAGGUAAAUUGGAAAAUGCACAUUAAAUGUUAAAUGCCCAAAACCCCCCAUUCCACUUGUAGGAAUUUAGCCCACAAACAUGUCUAUACAAGUGCACAAAAAUAUAUAGAGAUUAUCCCAUUGUCUAAGACAGCAAAGAAUUUGGACAUUAGCUCCAUGUCCACUAAUGGGGACAAGUUAAAUACAUAAUGGUACCCCACUGUGCCAUACUGAUAACCUUUAACAUCAGGGAUGUGGGUUCUUGUGUGCUUAUAGAGAAAUAGGCCAAUUCUGUAUUAUAAAUGAAAACACCACGUACAAACAGUGAAGUAUAUACUGCAAUCCUAUGCGUGCAGGAGAAGAACAGUGCUUAUAAAUACAUGGAAAGAUUCUGCAAGAAUUCCUAAGAAACUGUUAAAUACAGGUGUCCUGGGGGGAGUGAGACUAGAAGGGGGACCCUUUAUUUUAGUUAUAAGCUUCUGUUAUAGUUAGACAUUUUUAUCACAAGGUAUAAAAAAAAAAAAACCCUAAUUUUUAAAAUGUAGCUGCUAGUUGACAUAACCAGGCAGUUCUACAGUUCUAGAGCUUUACUCUCUUCCUUUCCUGUUAGAUAAUCUCUGUCCUGACUUACCCCUAGAAGUUGGGUUUGGGGAUUUUCUUAUAACUUGCAAUAGCUCCCAAAUGGUCUCCCCCUAUCUGGACCUUACAGCCAUUCUCUGCCCUGCAGCCAGAGUGAGUCUUGCAAGAUGUAAAUCUGCCCAUGCCACUCCCUUGCUGGGACCCUUCAGAGGUUUAUGUCUCAGAACAACAGGGAGAGUCCUUAGGGCAGCCUCCGCCCGUCUCUGACCUCAUUCCUCCCACUGUCCACGUGGCUCACUUCACUCCACACAACACCUUUGGGCUCUUUGAGGCUCUUCACACACUGCGACGCCCCUCCUUCCCCAGGACCUUUGUGAUUCGGUUCUCCCGGAAUGGACCAUUCUUCCCCCACAGGAUUUUCUUUGCUUAGAACAUUCCUUUAUUUUCUUCUGGGCUCUGGCCAAAAGUCACCUCCCCUGACUGCCCUUCCAGAGAAAGCCUCCAGCUUGCUUUCUUCUUUUAUUUAUUUAUUUAUUUGGGCAAAGUCUCGUUCUGUCGCCCAGGCUGGAAGGCAGUGGUGCGAUCACGGCUCACUGAAGCAUCCGCCUCCUGGGCUCAAGCAAUCCUCCCACCUCAGCCUCCCAAGGAGCUGGGACCACGGGCACGUGCCACCACACCAGGCUAAUUUUUUGUAUGUUUUGUAGAAAUGAGGUCUCACUAUGUUGGCCAGGCUGGUCUCAAACUCCUGGGCUCAGGGGAUCGUCCCACCUUUGCCUCCCAAAGUGCUGGGAUUGUAAGGCGUGAGCCACUGCACCCAGCCUCUUCUCCAAAUGAUCACUUUGUGGCACCCAUCCUCCCUGGCCUAGCAUACAUUUAUUUGCAUGCUGCAACUUCAAAUUGCAUAUUCAUUUAUUUAUUGUCUGCCUGUAUUCACUGGAAUGUAACCUGAGGGCUGGAAGGCACAUUUGCAUGGCUUAUUAAAACUCUGUUCUCAGGGCUUAGGACAGCGCCUAGCACAAAAUGGGCCUCAGAAUGAGUGAAUGAACAGAUGGUCUGACCCCUGUCCUCCUGGAGAUAAGCAGACAAGUGAUAAGUGCUAACCAGGUAGCAUCAGUGAGUUAUACCAGCACACAUGAGAACCUCAAAAUGGCCAGGAUCAUGACUGUUUUUUCACUGGGGUUACCUUAGUGAGGGUGAGUUCAACUUGUGGGUUUGUGACAGUUCCCUCCAUUUUCAAAAAAAUUUUUUCCCAGGUUGGACUGAUUGUCUCCCUAGGCUCCCACUCUGACCUGCCUCCCUUCCAGAGUUCCCCAGCUCAAGAAUGCCAGCACCACCUGCCAUGUUGCUCAAGCCAGAAAAUUCCUGAGUCCUUGAUUUCUCCUCUCUCCAUUCCCACUGCCAAUUGCCAGUGCAAACCCUGCUCUCCUGCCCAGACACUGCAGUAAUUUACUCACUGGGGUCCUUGUCUUACAAGGUCUCACUACCACCCAACUCUCACCCCGUGCUCCUCCUGCCCCUACCACUGCUCUAUCCACCUUGAAAAAACCCCUCUCUCCUCAAUCCCCAGCUCCAGACUUUUACUCUGAAGUAGGUUUCCCAAGGCUGGAUGCAGUGGCUCACACUUGUAUUCCUAGCAUUUUGGGAGGCCAAAGCGGACAGAUUAUCUGAGGUCAGGAGUUUGAGACCAGCCUGGCCAACACAAAAAACCCUGUCUCUACUAAAAAUACAAAAAUGAGCCAGGCAUGGUGGUGGGUACCUGUAAUCCCAGCUACUCAGAAGGCUGAGGCAGGAGAAUCACUUGAACUCAGGAGGAAGAGGUUGCAAUGAGCCAAGAUCGUGCCACUGCACUCCAGCCCGGGCGAUAGAGCAAGACUCCAUCUCAAAAAAUAAAUAAAUAGGCCAGGGAUGGUGGCUCAUGCCUGUAAUCCCAGCACUUCGGGAGGCCGAGGCAGGCGGAUCACCUGAGGUCAGGAGUCCAAGACCAGACUCAUCAAUAUGAUGAAACCCCGUCUCUACUAAAAAUACAAAAAUUAGGGGGUCAUGGUCGUGCAUGCCUGUAAUCCCAGCUACUCGGGAGGCUGAGACAGGAGAAUUGCUUGAACCCGGGAGGCGGAGGUUGCAGUGAGCCGAGAUCGUGACAUUGCAGUCCAGCCUGGGCAACAAAAGCGAAACUCCAUCUCAAAAAAUAAAUUAAAUAAAUAAAUAAAAUAAAAUAAAAUAAAAUAAAAAAGUUGGUUUCCCAAGCAGAACCCACCAUGCCAUUAGAUCCCCUGCCCCAACCCCCACCUAACCCCUCUGAGCAUUUAUCACCAUGACCCCUCAUCCUGUAUGCCAGCCUCUCACCUCCAGAAAACCUCAGGGCAGGACAGGCUGCUUACCCCAGUGCCACACACCCAAAAUAUAUUGAAAUCAUAAGCCUUCUGCCCUUCCCUGGAGGAGGGUUAGAUUUUAUAAAGCUUGGAAGAAACCACAAAGACUGUGGUGAAAAGAAACCAACAAAGGUCUAUUCCUUAGCUUCUCCCCAUUCUUCACCUAUUUGAUGGAAAGCUUAAAAGGUAUAAAUAACCACCACGCUAAUAAUGAUAGCUCCUACGUAUUGAGGGCUUACUAUGUAUAAAGCACCCUUCCAAGUUCUUUACAUACAUUAUCUCAUUGAAUCCUCACAAGAGUCCUGUGAUGUGUCACUAUUCUUCCCAUUUUAGAGAUGAGCAAAUGCAAGCACAGAAAGACUGAGAGAGACACUUAACUCAAGGUCACACCGCUGCUAUGUGAUUGAGCCAGAAUACACGCUCAGCAGUCCAACUACAGAGUCUGCACUUGCCCACUGCAUUUCACUAGUCCCAAAGAUUAUGACAACACUCCUCUUCCUAUUUUGUGACAGUGUGGUAUAACAAGAUGAACGUGAACCAGGAGUCAGGAGUGCUGGCUUCCAGCUCAGCAAAUAACCACGACAUAGAAAAUAUAUCAAUGGCAGGGUUGGAUGACAUGAGCUGAAGUUUCCUUUUCUCCCUUAACUUUGUUGUUUUUUUUGUUUGUUUGUUUUGAGACAGGGUCUCACUCUGUUGCCCACGCUGGAGUGCAGUGGCAGGAUCUUGGCUCACUGCAACCUCCACCUCCGGAGUUCAAGUGAUUCUCCCACCUCAACUUCCCGAGUAGCUGGGAUUACAGUCGUGUGCCACCACGCUCAGCUAAUCAUUUGUAUUUUUGGUAGAGAAAGGGUUUCACCAUGUUAGCCAGGCUGGUCUCAAACUCCUCACCUCAAGUGAUAUGCCCCCCUCAGCCUCCCAAGGGCCUCCCCAAAACGCCUGAGAUUACAGGCAUGAGCCACUGUGCCCAGCCCUUCCUCCCUUAACUUUGGUUGUCUCAUUCUGUCACUGCCACUCUGCUACCACCGAUUCCGUAUUCUGCCCCAGUGUUGGAAUCCCUUCUGCAUCAACCAACCACACAUUCCUAAAGGAGACCGUCAGCUAGGCACGGUGGCUCACGCCUGCAAUCCCAGGACUUUGGGAGGCCGAGACAGGCAGAUCACGAGGUCAGGAGUUCAAGACCAGCCUGGCCAACAUAGUGAAACCCCGUCUCUACUAAAAAUACAAAAAAAAAUCAAAUCAAAUAUUAGCCAGUCAUGGUGGCGGGCGCCUGUAAUCCCACCUACUCAGGAGGCUGAGGCAGGAGAAUUGCUUGAACCCAGCAGGCAGAGGUUGAAGUGAGCAGAGAUGGCGUCACUGCACUCCAGCCUGGGUCACAGUGCGAGACUCUGUCUCAAAAACAAAAAAAAAAAAAAAAAAAAAAGGAGAUCGUCAUUCUUCCUGCCUCCCUCCCAGCAGAAUGGCCAUGGCCCAGAGCUUCAACCAAGUUCCUUUCCUGGUCACGUACUGUUUUAUUUUUAUCAUUACCAUUAGCACUCUGAUUUAUAGGAUCCAAUUACUACUAAUUUGCAGACAAACAAAUUUUCCUGUUGAAUACAGAUUCCAUGGAAAUCUGACAGUGCAUUUAUUGAACUCUGCUGCCCAUCAGCUGAGGACUAAGGAUGUUUUUGCCAGUGGAACAUACCAGUUUUCAUGGUAUUUGUCCCAGUAGAAUUUGAUCCAUAUUAAACCAGCUUAAAUCAACUGUAUUUAGGGAAGAAAACUAUUUCUUUCAGUUUAUUUUUCUUUGGAAAUUCUUUGAAAAGAGGGUUAAAGACAGAAAACUAAUAAAUCGUUACAUAGCAAUGAGGAAUUGAGAAAUUAAGUAAAUAAACCUACUGUCAGGCCUCUGAGCCCAAGCUAAGCCAUCAUAUCCCCUGUGACCUGCACAUAUACAUCCAGAUGGCCUGAAGCAACUGAAGAUCCACAAAAGAAGUGAAAAUAGCCUUAACUGAUGACGUUCCACCAUUGUGAUUUGUUUCUGCCCCACCCUAACUGAUCAAUGUACUUUGUAAUCUCCCCCACCCUUAAGAAGUUUCUUUGUAAUUCUCCCCACCCUUGAGAAUGUACUUUGUGAGAUCCACCCACUGCCCCCCGCAAAACAUUGCUCCUAACUCCACCGCCUAUACCAAAACCUAUAAGAACUAAUGAAAAGCCCACCACCCUUUGCUGACUCUCUUUUCGGACUCAGCCCACCUGCACCCAGGUGAAAUAAACAGCCUUGUUGCUUGCACAAAGCCUGUCUGGUGGUCUCUUCACACGGACACACGUGACACCUACCUUACCAGGUGACUGAGAAAGUAUCUGAGUAUGCCUUUGGGGGUUAUUCCUUUGUCUGAAUUCUGAUGCAUCUUUAAAAACGAACUUGCACUUAACCAACCACUAAAAGAAAAAGAAGAAUUGUCG